rnacentral:other from 2 species
AAUCCUCUGCUGUGCGCGUCAGGAACGUCAAUUUUGGCGAACCAAUGUACACCCGUAGGGGGCCGAUCGGGUUCUUUCCCUUGGGAAGAUGUGACUCUAGGCUCCCACCUAUUCACUGCGGGUUCUCAAAACCGUUCGCAACGGCAUCGGCGGAGGAUUC